ensembl:lncRNA
CUUAGCCCCAGGCUGCAAAGAGAGCAGAGGAAGCCAAGAAAAAGGAAAGGACAACAGACAGAGAGAGGGGCACAGGGCUGGUGGUCAGUCCCUCACUCACUGACCCAAAGCCACACUCAGCAGCAGCUGUACCAGCUCUAAAAAGAAGGAAGACUUGUAAUCCAGUGUGAGAGGUCACAGCAGAAGACACAAGAAUAAUCCAAGGACAGAUUCUGGAGCGAUAGAUGGAGAAAGAUCUGAAGAUAUCCACUUGAGCUUCUCCAGCCAUGGGCCUUCAAGUCCAGUGGAAUUGUCCCAUAUCUUCCCAGCACACCACGUUACUUUGUCCUGUUAAAAAGAAGACUAAAGGAAGGCUACAGACUGAGACAGCUCAGUGUUUCUGGCUCCUAUGUAGGUAGACUAGAGCCCAAUGUGCAUACUAAAAGGAAACUGGACUCACCAAUCAAAAAGCACCAAGUAGCCCAAGGAGAAUCUGGCCAGUCUGAUCCCACCACAUACUUUUUCCUUAGCUUCUGUAGAAAUUUUGCCGUCUACACUGCUGCAGGGGGCAACCUGAAUUUCCUGAUUCUAAGCACUACCUGACUUAUGCAUUGUUCUUUGUUCAAAGAAACCCUUUUAAAUUUAUUUUGUC